AUUGAACGCUGGCGGCAUGCUUUACACAUGCAAGUCGAACGGCAGCGCGGGCUUCGGCCUGGCGGCGAGUGGCGAACGGGUGAGUAAUGCAUCGGAACGUGCCCAGUAGUGGGGGAUAGCCCGGCGAAGGCCGGAUUAAUACCGCAUACGACCUGAGGGUGAAAGCGGGGGACCGAAAGGCCUCGCGCUAUUGGAGCGGCCGAUGUCGGAUUAGCUAGUUGGUGGGGUAAAGGCUUACCAAGGCGACGAUCCGUAGCUGGUCUGAGAGGACGACCAGCCACACUGGGACUGAGACACGGCCCAGACUCCUACGGGAGGCAGCAGUGGGGAAUUUUGGACAAUGGGGGCAACCCUGAUCCAGCCAUGCCGCGUGCGGGAAGAAGGCCUUCGGGUUGUAAACCGCUUUUGUUCGGGAAGAAAUCCUCUGGGCUAAUACCCCGGGGCGAUGACGGUACCGGAAGAAUAAGCACCGGCUAACUACGUG
rnacentral:rRNA from 1 species